ACCUCUCUGCAGUACCGCUUCGAUCGGGAUAACUGCCUCCCUGUCUCCCUUUCCAUUCCCCGUCUCAAAUCUCAUCUGAGUUCUCGCCCCUGCUGCUGCGCAGUCGCUGGCGCUUCCCUCUACCCUGCGUCUCCCUCCGCCCGGAGCCCCCCUCACCACGCCUCCCUCCUCUCUCAUCUGUAGAAGGCCACGCGGCUGGCAAGGAUCCUACACAGAGCAGAUCCUCCAGGCGCCGGCCAAGAAGGUGCAGCGAGCAGGGAGGGGAGAAGGGAGGUUGACAGCGCCGGAGAGUUGCCGUGCGGUAGGUGCAGGAGGAUCAGGCUCGGGCGCCCUGCCCCUGGCCCAGAGGAUGACGACGCAGCCACAGAGCUGGCUCGCCUCCACCACCGGCGCAAGUGCUCACCAGUGUUGUUUUCUGAGUCUGAAGCUGCAAUUGAUCGAAAAUGUUUGUCAGGUUUAUUUCUUCUCAUUGCCGCCACAUAGAAGGGUGCAAUAUGGAUCCCGCGAUAGUCCGGCUUGUAGUUCAAUUCUCAAAUCUCUUAUUCGAAUUCUGAGCAAAAUUUUGAAUAGAAGAUUUGAAAAAUGAACUAGAAGCUGGAUUUUCCCGUUUGCAUCCCUAGCCAUAUAGCAGGCUGGCUGAGGCCCGCCAUAGUUCGGGUCAAAAAAUAAAUGGCCCUUUUUCAUUGAUUAACUGGUAAGCAUUACUAUCACAAACACAUGUGGCUUUUGUAAGCAUUACUAUCUUAAAUCCUUUAGAACUAUCCUUUACAAUCCAGACUGAAGCUACAUUCAAUUCUUUGGCUUACAAUCAAACUAUCUUUUACAUCAAAAGCUGAUAACUGCUGUGUGUCAGAUAAAACUUGAUAAGAUUUGCUUGUGAAACCUGAUUAUGUACAUCAAACAUGAAAUAUAUGUACAAGUUAAAAAAUCUUUUGUUGCAUAUCAGAAUAUCAUUUAGUAGAGAGCAGGUCCUAAUGAAGGGAAAGUCCAUGCUGAACAAGCCCCGGUGGAACUUUAGAGUUCUGGCAGUGUUUAUUUUAUUUUUUGAAUGAGAGGGCAAGAUUUUCAGAGAAAAGUUGUGGUAAAUGUAAAACGAGUUUCUGCAUUUGAAUUAUUCAUCUCAUUUUUAGUUUGGUUUUUGAAGACAUGUAGAACAGAUAUACUACUUUUCGAUAUGGAUUAUACGACAUGCGUCACAUGCAUGUUAUUUUUUGUCAUUUGUAGGGUAUGAAGUAAUCUGGUUUAGUUUAUAUGAUGAGAUUAGAAUGAUUUUUUUUUGGCAAGGAGUCAAUUACUGAUUAACUAAACAAGAAGAUUGAUUUGCUUUAUGCAAGUUUUUUCAAUGAAACAAUUAAUUAUUAACUAAAAAUCAACCAUGGCUAUGUCUGUAGAGGCCAGAGGGUAACUCAUGCCUUGGUAGAUAGGGAUUAACAAACCACACUUAUCCUAGGGAUACAACAAGGCCAAACUGGCCUGCGUAUGUAGGAAAAUAUUGGAGGCUCGGUGAAACUUGAGGUGUGCUUUUACACAUUUUCGUCAUGUUUCAGCUGUUAGGCCAAGGAGGUGCUCGCUGAACCACAGAGGGUGCAGAUCAGAAACCACGGGGAACAGACCUUCAGUCUGUCAUUGUAGAGAUAAGCACCUCAAAUAAAACGGAUGCACUUUAGGUUAAGCAACAAGCAUAAAUGAUUUUCGGUAUCUUUUAACAAGUGGUUGGUUUUUCUUUUAUGUAACUGGUAUAUAAAUACCGGGAUAGCUUCUACUACUAACUACGGUAAUAAAGAAGACUAAAAUAAUUUUGAAUGUUCCAUGGCAUGAUUCUGCUAUUUUGGUUCUCAUUAACUUUGUAUGCAGGAAGAUCUGAUUUUUCGAUUUGUCACUGAUUUUGUUCGUUAAUGUAUUAAAUUUAGCUUUUCCACUUGAAUAAAAUUGAACAGCCACUACAAUGUUUCUCCAUAACAGUUUUUAUCUGGCAUCUCGAAUCUAUGGCAAAAAUACAUGUGACUCUUUGCCAGAAUUCUCUGUUCUCGAAUACUUCCAUGCAAUUACCUUUUACUUAUCUUCUUUGGCCUCAAGUAGGGUGCUAGCACAUCUUUACAGAAAGUGUCAAAGAACCACAUUGUUGCUAGAAUGCAAUUUUUUUUUGCAUAUUUUUUGCAUAAACCGUUUUGCUAGGGGUAUUUGUAUGUUAAUUUAGACUGCAUAAUUUUUUUUAUUCCCUGGUUUGUGGCUAACAUCAUCUCAACAAUAGGACAGGUCGGGAGCGACUUUGUGAUACAUAACCGUUUCAUUGUGUGCCACCAGGUCAUAGGACGGCGAGUUGUUUUAUUCUCGAUGAAAAAUCGACAAUGGCAUGGAGCUGCUUGCAGGACCUACUUAUUGUUCUCUGAUGGCUAAACAGAUUUUGCUUCUGUUUUUUCCUUCACCAUGUCUGGAAUAGAGGAUAAAAACCUGCAAAAAAAAAUGUCUGGAAUAGAGACUCAAGGUGUUGAAUUGGAUGUGCAUCUGUUUGAUGAAUUGGAAGUCUGUUCUCAAACCAAUAUGAGCUUGUGUUGGGAGUCUAUCCAUUUAAAUUUUAAUAUCUCCUGUGAACUAUUCGGAAACCAAUAUAAACUUCGUGCUUAAAGAUAUAUGCUGAAUUUUUAAAGGGGACUGGAUUCGUUA